rnacentral:rRNA from 1 species
CCGGUUGAUCCUGCCGGAGGUUACUGCUAUCGAGGUUCAACUAAGCCAUGCGAGUCGAAUGUAGCAAUACAUGGCGAACUGCUCAGUAACACGUGGACAACCUGCCCUUAGGUUGGGUAUAAACCCGGGAAACUGGGUAUAAUACCCGAUAGGUCUCGAUUGCUGGAAUGCAUCGAGAUUUAAAGCUCCGGCGCCUAAGGAUGGGUCUGCGGCCUAUCAGGUAGUAGUGGAUGUAGCGUACCUACUAGCCUACGACGGGUACGGGUUGUGAGAGCAAGAGCCCGGAGAUGGAUUCUGAGACACGAAUCCAGGCCCUACGGGGUGCAGCAGGCGCGAAAACUUUACAAUGCUGGCAACAGCGAUAAGGGAACCUCGAGUGCCAGGUUACAAAUCUGGCUGUCGAGAUGCCUAAAAAGCAUUUCAUAGCAAGGGCCGGGCAAGACCGGUGCCAGCCGCCGCGGUAACACCGGCGGCUCGAGUGGUAACCGUUAUUAUUGGGUCUAAAGGGUCUGUAGCCGGCCGGAUAAGUCUCUUGAGAAAUCUGGCAGCUUAACUGUCAGGCUUUCAGGAGAUACUGUCUGGCUCGAGGCCGGGAGAGGUGAGAGGUACUUCAGGGGUAGGGGUGAAAUCCUGUAAUCCUUGAAGGACCACCAGUGGCGAAGGCGUCUCACCAGAACGGACCUGACGGCAAGGGACGAAAGCUAGGGGCACGAACCGGAUUAGAUACCCGGGUAGUCCUAGCCGUAAACGAUACUCGCUAGGUGUCGGCCACGGUGCGACCGUUGUCGGUGCCGUAGGGAAGCCGUGAAGCGAGCCACCUGGGAAGUACGGCCGCAAGGCUGAAACUUAAAGGAAU